GACGAACGCUGGCGGCGUGCUUAACACAUGCAAGUCGAACGGAAAGGCCUCUUUCGGGGGGUACUCGAGUGGCGAACGGGUGAGUAACACGUGAGUAACCUGCCCUUGACUUUGGGAUAACUUCAGGAAACUGGGGCUAAUACCGGAUAGGAGCUCCUGCUGCAUGGUGGGGGUUGGAAAGUUUCGGCGGUUGGGGAUGGACUCGCGGCUUAUCAGCUUGUUGGUGGGGUAGUGGCUUACCAAGGCUUUGACGGGUAGCCGGCCUGAGAGGGUGACCGGCCACAUUGGGACUGAGAAACGGCCCAGACUCCUACGGGAGGCAGCAGGGGGGAAUAUUGCACAAUGGGUGGAAGCCGGAUGCAGCAACGCCGUGUGCGGGAUGACGGCCUUCGGGUUGUAAACCGCUUUCGCUCAUGACGAAGCUUUGUGUGACGGUAGUGGGUAAAGAAGCACCGGCUAACUACGUG
rnacentral:rRNA from 1 species